rnacentral:rRNA from 1 species
GACACCUUCAGUCCUGUCGUCAAGCCUACCACUAUUCGGCUUCUUCUCUCCAUUGCUGUUUCUCGUGGUUGGUCACUUCGUCAACUUGAUGUGCAGAAUGCUUUUCUACAUGGAUUUUUGGAGGAAGAGGUUUAUAUGAAACAGCCGCCUGGUUUCUCUGAUCCUGAUCGUCCUGACUAUAUUUGUCGUCUUUCCAAAGCACUAUAUGGUUUGAAGCAAGCUCCUCGUGCCUGGCAUGCCCGCCUUGCCUCUGCCCUUCGUGCUCAUGGGUUUGUGCCGUCCACUGCUGACACUUCAUUAUUUCUUCUACAGAAGCCAGAAGUCACUAUGUACCUUUUGGUAUAUGUCGAUGAUAUUAUCCUUGUCAGCUCUUCUCAGUAUGCUGCUAAUGCUCUUGUCUGCUCUCUUGGUGCUGAUUUUGCGGUCAAAGAUCUUGGGAAGCUUCACUACUUUCUUGGAGUUGAGGUCACUUCUCGUGCUACUGGUCUUGUCCUUACGCAGAAGAAGUACUCCUUGGAGUUGUUACAAAGAGCUGGCAUGCUGAAGUGCAAA